GGGGCUGGAGUGCAGUUGCACAAUCUCGGCUCACUGCAACCUCCCCUUCCCGGGUUCAAGUGAAGGAAUGCUGAUUCUGUAUUCAUACUUCUGACUGCAAGGAGUUCCAACAAUAGGAGUGAUUGCUUACUUAUUGACUCUGGACCACAGGGUUAAUGAGAAGUACGGAGUUACUCUAAGGGAUCAACUGGUUCUGACUGGCAGCUUGCCAUUAGAAGGGGGUGAACUACCUAUUAUGAUCCUGUAUUAAAUUAAUUGGAAAGAGUUUAUGUUUUCAGUAUUCCAGCAUGCUCGAAGUUUAAGAUGCAGACAAGGAAAACAAGGCAGCCUAGAGAACAUUUACCUUUGCAUAUUCUCAUACAAUUUUUAUCCAUUUUGCUUCUCUUAAUAAACUUUACACAAUCACUGCCUGGAAA